GACGCCGCUGUCUCCCAAGGGUCGGGAUAAACUAGGGGGCGGUUGAUCUGAAAGUCUUAGCCACGACUAAUAGUCAACCGCCCAGGUGCGACCCGCAGCAGCCUUGGCGAUGCAGCUCGUUCUCCAGACGCGGGUCCACACCGGCGCGUCCUCGCCUCCAGGGACCGAUCGCUGUUCUCCGUGGCCGGAUAACCGACCAAGACGUUUCCAGCCUAAUGCCUGACGCCUUUUGCUUCCUCCAUCCUGGUCCUCAGUCCCUGAACUCCCAGGACAGAAUUCCUGACCUCCUUGGUCAAGCCUUGGAUCGAGAAAGAGAAACUAUUAGUGUAAACAAACCAAUCAACCCCAAAACCAAAACUGUGCCUGCCAAUAGCCCAUUUCUUGGCCAUUGAUGGUGCAUGAAGAGAAAUGGAUCCAAUUAAGAAAAUCUUAAAAUCUUAAGGAAUAAGAAAAUGUAAUAAAGAGAAAGACAAUGUCAUGCUCAGGGAGCUAAUAUGAAUCCCAAAGGAAUAUUGACUGUUCAGGCUCAAGUUAAAUUACAGCAGAUCGAAAGUGAGGAGUUGAGUGGCAUCUUCUUUUCUCUUACUGUCGACCUUGUUAAAUGGGGAGUCCACACCCCUUGCCUACUCCUCCCUCCUCAACCCCGUGACAGUGGGCCUCCCCCCAACUGUAUUGAGCAUGCACUCUAAAACAGUUACUUUUUGAGAAGUCAAGUCUGGUGACCCAUUCUCAGCCCCUCAUCCCUUUGAUCUCCUUGGCAGCAUCCUACCCUAAGGCCUUCUCUAUGCUUCUCUGGACUUCUCUGCUGACCCUUCUCUUCCUUUGAGGACAGUAACAAGGUUUUUCCAACUCUCGAUCUCCCAGUAUCCCAAAGAAAUACCUUCUGAUUUCAAACUGAACCCAUCCAGAUGUCGUGGGACCUGAAGCUUGUAUAACUCCUGGGGGAACUUCUUAAAGGAAAGCAAUAAAAACUUACAAACAUA
rnacentral:lncRNA from 1 species